UCAAAUGAGUAAUAGCUGCUCUGUUUUCAUGAGAUAGAGUCUUAUGUAGUUCUGGAGAAAUGAAGGGAUAUGUUAUGAAGUAUACCUGAGUCAAUAUAAUGCUAACAAAUAUAUGAAGUUCAUAACUUCAACUUCUGAAUCUCUAUCUGACUAGAUCUGUAAACAGCAUAAGAGAUUGUUACAGGGUAUGGCUGUUGAAGUCUGUAAGAAAUAAACGUGUUUCUCAAUUGAGAAACAUGUUCUCAACGUGAUGCUGAGACAAAGGAUAGCUUGUUUUCAUAGAUCAUAUUUGGAUGUUAGAGAUCUGGUUCCAAUUAAUUUUGGAUACUUGAAGCUGGAUUCAAACACCAGACACAGUCCACAUGAAUUGGGUCCCUUUGUGUGGUGAGCUUGUGAAACAGCAUCCCUAACAGAAAUAUGAGAAUUCUCCAGUACAACUUCAAUAAUGCCCUGGAACUUCUCAAAGAUUUUGUAUUUCCUUCUAGACCAGCUCAGCUGAGUAAAUCCAGUUUCUUCAAACUUUCUUCCUGUGCCAAGGCAUUCAACCAUCUAAUCAUAUUGGCAGUCUUUCACUGGACACUCUCCAAUUGUGCAGUGAGGGAUCAAAACAGUCAAUCGUGCAUAACAAUUAUCUCAAAAACAAUUCAUGCUGAGUGCUGCCAAUUUACUGUCUCUUCAACAACUAACAAAGAUGGCCUGAGAGAUUUUGAAAUUUUACAUUUUCCAAAAGUAUUUUAAUUCUUCAAUUCUAUUGGUAUAAUGUUUUGCUGUUAAUUUUUAUUUUUUAGUAAUUUCUGGGGAAAUCUUUAAACUUAAAAAAAAAAAGGAAAAUAAUCUUAAUUCUGAUAAUUUUACUUUUAAAAAUACGGUGUAGGUUCUCAGCAUUUAUUGAUUGUAAUGGUGGUUGCAAAAUAGCUUAGCAGCUUAAAACAACUUAAAAUAAAUCACUGUCAUGUUUAAAAUCAUAUAUAUUCAACAUACAGACAUUCAUUUAAUCUGAGCAUCACUUUCUGAAAAGAAGUCUAAUGAAUCAAUAGUAGUGAUAAAUAUUCUUUUGUUUCUGCAUAAGCUACAGUACUUGUAUCUAUAAGAGUAGUCGUAGAUGCAUCUGUCAGCUUCAAUUAGAACACUUCUGUUUUCAUGCUGCUAAAGAGAAAGAUCUAUUCAGCAAUUAAGAAAGCAGUACAGAAAAAGAAACUAGUAGAGAAAAGUGGACAGAGUCAUCAGCUAUCAUCUAUCAGACAACAAAGCAGAAUCACUGUGUUUCUGUCUGUCGUGGCCAGAGGGUGAAUCAGUUAAUCAUUUGUAACUUGUAUUUUAAACAACUUUAAUGUAUACAGAUGAAUAUGCCACAGUAUUCUCUCCCUUUCUCUUAAGAGUUUACAUUGUGUGUAAUCUGUUACUUUAAGAUAUACAUUCCUGUAUGCAGAAUAUUAUGGAUUUCUAUUUCUGUAACCAAGCCAAAGGUAGUUUGAUAUUUUUCCCUGAGUCUUCAACUGAAAGAUGAAAAUAAAAGUUAAACAUC
rnacentral:lncRNA from 7 species